rnacentral:rRNA from 1 species
UGCAAGUCGAGCGGAAACGAGUUAUCUGAACCUUCGGGGAACGAUAACGGCGUCGAGCGGCGGACGGGUGAGUAAUGCCUAGGAAAUUGCCCUGAUGUGGGGGAUAACCAUUGGAAACGAUGGCUAAUACCGCAUGAUGCCUACGGGCCAAAGAGGGGGACCUUCGGGCCUCUCGCGUCAGGAUAUGCCUAGGUGGGAUUAGCUAGUUGGUGAGGUAAGGGCUCACCAAGGCGACGAUCCCUAGCUGGUCUGAGAGGAUGAUCAGCCACACUGGAACUGAGACACGGUCCAGACUCCUACGGGAGGCAGCAGUGGGGAAUAUUGCACAAUGGGCGCAAGCCUGAUGCAGCCAUGCCGCGUGUGUGAAGAAGGCCUUCGGGUUGUAAAGUACUUUCAGUCGUGAGGAAGGYGGUGUCGUUAAUAGCGGCAUUAUUUGACGUUAGCGACAGAAGAAGCACCGGCUAACUCCGUGCCAGCAGCCGCGGUAAUACGGAGGGUGCGAGCGUUAAUCGGAAUUACUGGGCGUAAAGCGCAUGCAGGUGGUUUGUUAAGUCAGAUGUGAAAGCCCGGGGCUCAACCUCGGAAUAGCAUUUGAAACUGGCAGACUAGAGUACUGUAGAGGGGGGUAGAAUUUCAGGUGUAGCGGUGAAAUGCGUAGAGAUCUGAAGGAAUACCGGUGGCGAAGGCGGCCCCCUGGACAGAUACUGACACUCAGAUGCGAAAGCGUGGGGAG